CCUACGGGAGGCAGCAGUGAGGAAUAUUGGUCAAUGGACGCAAGUCUGAACCAGCCAUGCCGCGUGCAGGAAGACGGCUCUAUGAGUUGUAAACUGCUUUUGUACGAGGGUAAACGCAGAUACGCGUCUCUGUAUGAAAGUAUCGUACGAAAAAGGAUCGGCUAACUCCGUGCCAGCAGCCGCGGUAAUACGGAGGUUUCAAGCGUUAUCCGGAUUUAUUGGGUUUAAGGGGUGCGUAGGCGGUCGGAUAAGUUAGAGGUGAAAUCCCGAGGCUCAACUUCGGAAUUGCCUCUGAUACUGGUCGGCGAGAGAGUAGUUGAGGUAGGCGGAAUGUAUGGUGUAGCGGUGAAAUGCUUAGAGAUCAUACAGAACACCGAUGGCGAAGGCAGCUUACCAAGCUACUUCUGACGUUGAGGCACGAAAGCGUGGGGAGCAAACAGGAUUAGAUACCCGAGUAGUC
rnacentral:rRNA from 1 species